UGGCGGCGGGACGCCCGACGUGAGCUGGUCGCUCGUUUUACUCCGAACUGCGGACCGCCGACGAUUUGGGGCCAACCGGCAGUGGGCGUUCCGGUUUGCUGGGUCCAAAGAGCGAAACCUCCCUUUGGCCACGGGCCGUUCACCCCGAAUCCGUACCGACCUUGGCUGAGAAAAGGCCCUCGACUUCGCGAGGCGCCUGACGUCUCCGCGCGCAAGCCCUUGCUCGUGGCGGUUCCGCCGUCCUACUCCCUGGGAGAUCGAGUCUAGGGAAGCCGUCCGGAGUAAAAACCAGUCGCAUCAACGGCCACCGGAGAGGGAGAGCAACCGCCGCUUCACACCGAGUGCACGAGGGACAUCACAAUGCCCGACAAAAGCAGCGCCGGAAGCUACAAGGAUAGCCGCAACACGGAAGUGAAAGCGAUUCCUUUUCCCCCGUCCGCCGAGCGGAGGAAUGCUGGCUUCCAAGAGUACCACCCGGGUGUCCACCAGCCACGCUCGGGAGGCUCAUCGCCCACGUCGCCGCAGCCCACUCAGGGUGGCUGGAAGUUCUGAAGAUCGGACGAGAGAGAUGCUAGAAUGAAACGACUGACGACUUCCCCGCCAAGACCCUGUUGCAGUGCUGAGCAGCUCAUCAAAUCAUCGCCAGAGUGUGAUAAACGUAACCUAAGCAUUCCCACGAUCUCCGUUUCUAGUUUUGUACUAACUGCUUCAUUAAAUGAAGUUGAGUUA